GACGAACGCUGGCGGCGUGCCUAAUACAUGCAAGUCGAGCGGAUGGAAGGAAGCUUGCUUCCUAAAGUCAGCGGCGGACGGGUGAGUAACACGUGGGCAACCUGCCCCUAAGAUCGGGAUAACUUCGGGAAACCGGAGCUAAUACCGGAGAUGAUUAUGUCUCACAUGAGACAUAAUGGAAAGACGGUUUCGGCUGUCACUUAGGGAUGGGCCCGUGGCGCAUGAGCUAGUGGGGGAGGUAACGGCUCACCAAGGCGACGAUGCGUAGCUGACCUGAGAGGGUGAUCGGCCACACUGGGACUGAGACACGGCCCAGACUCCUACGGGAGGCAGCAGUAGGGAAUCUUCCGCAAUGGACGAAAGUCUGACGGAGCAACGCCGCGUGAGUGAAGAAGGUUUUCGGAUCGUAAAACUCUGUUGUUAGGGAAGAACAAGUACCAUAGUAACUGAUGGUACCUUGACGGUACCUAACCAGAAAGCCACGGCUAACUACGUGCCAGCAGCCGCCGCCG
rnacentral:rRNA from 1 species